AUUGAACGCUGACGGCAGGCUUAACACAUGCAAGUCGAACGAGUGGCGGACGGGUGAGUAAUGCUUGGGAAUCUAGCUUAUGGCGGGGGAUAACUACGGGAAACUGUAGCUAAUACCGCGUACCAUAGGAUGAGCCCAAGUGGGAUUAGGUAGUUGGUGAGUUAAAGGUUCACCAGCCCGACGAUCUCUAGCUGGUCUGAUAGGCUAACCAGCCAAACUGUGAUGGAGACACGGCCAAUACUCCUACGGGAGGCAGCAGUGGGGAAUAUUGCGCAAUGGGGGCAACCUGACGCAGCCAUGCCGCGUGAAUGAAGAAGGCCUUCGGGUUGUAAAGUUCUUUCGGUAGCGAGGCGUUAACUACAGAAGAAGCACCGGCUAACUACGUGCCAGCAGCCGCGGUAAUUC
rnacentral:rRNA from 1 species